GACGAACCGUGCAGACGUUGUUCGGAAUCACUGGGCUUAAAGGGCGCGUAGGCGGGCUGCCAAGUCUGGGGUGAAAUCCCACGGCUCAACCGUGGAACUGCCCCGGAUACUGGCGGCCUCGAGGGGGGUAGGGGCGUGCGGAACUGUGGGUGGAGCGGUGAAAUGCGUUGAUAUCCACAGGAACUCCGGUGGCGAAGGCGGCACGCUGGACCUUUUCUGACGCUGAGGCGCGAAAGCCAGGGGAGCAAACGGG
rnacentral:rRNA from 1 species